CCGUCAUAUCAAGUUGAAACACUGAUUCCCGUAUGAUCACUGAAGUUAAGCAACGUCGAGACUGGUCAGUACCUAGAUGGGUGACCGCUUGAGAAUAUCAGGUGCUGUAA